rnacentral:rRNA from 1 species
UACGGAGGGUCCGAGCGUUAUCCGGAUUUAUUGGGUUUAAAGGGAGCGUAGGCGGGUACUUAAGUCAGUUGUGAAAGUUUACGGCUAAACCGUGAAAUUGCAGUUGAUACUGGGUGCCUUGAGUGCAGUAGAGGUAAGCGGAAUUCGUGGUGUAGCGGUGAAAUGCUUAGAUAUCACGAAGAACUCCAAUUGCGAAGGCAGCUUGCUGGACUGUAACUGACGCUGAUGCUCGAAAGUGUGGGUAUCAAACAGGAUUAGAUACCCUGGUAGU